AGGCUUAACACAUGCAAGUCGAGCGGGCAUAGCAAUAUGUCAGCGGCAGACGGGUGAGUAACGCGUGGGAACGUACCUUUUGGUUCGGAACAACUGAGGGAAACUUCAGCUAAUACCGGAUAAGCCCUUACGGGGAAAGAUUUAUCGCCGAAAGAUCGGCCCGCGUCUGAUUAGCUAGUUGGUGAGGUAAUGGCUCACCAAGGCGACGAUCAGUAGCUGGUCUGAGAGGAUGAUCAGCCACAUUGGGACUGAGACACGGCCCAAACUCCUACGGGAGGCAGCAGUGGGGAAUAUUGGACAAUGGGCGCAAGCCUGAUCCAGCCAUGCCGCGUGAGUGAUGAAGGCCCUAGGGUUGUAAAGCUCUUUUGUGCGGGAAGAUAAUGACGGUACCGCAAGAAUAAGCCCCGGGCUAACUUCGUGCCAGCAGCCG
rnacentral:rRNA from 1 species